CAGAAGGAAAGAAAACAAUCUUAGAAGCACGAUUUUUUUAAUGUUCUCAAUUUUGGAUCAAGCCAAGCAAAAGUUUGUUUUUAAUCGGUUUAAAUAAUUUAACAAUUUAUCGGUUUUAUCAAUUUGGAUCUAGCAAUUUAUCGAUUAAAAAUUGAACCAAUCUAUUUCUUAUUCAAUUUCAUUUCCCAAUCUCUAUCUCUCUGUUUUUUCUUUUCCUUUUUUUCUCCCCCUUUUUAAAUGAAUGCACAUCUAUAGUCCUAAGAUGAGGAAGGAAAUUAUAUCCAGCAUAGGAAAUUCAUCUUUUUUUUUUGGUUGAAGAAGCCUUCUUUUCUCUUGGGACGGCCAAAGAUUUUUUUUCUUCCGGCGAGGUUGAGGUUUGAUUUUGCACAGUAUUUGGUUGUAGCCUCUAUGUCACGAAGGUAACUCAAUUUUCUUGUUUUCUUUCCCUCUCCAUAGGCAGCGAUUUUGCUGUUUAGAUCUGUCGAUUUUGCGGAGUAUUUGGUUGUAGCCUCUGGGUCACAAAGUUAAGCAGGAAUGGAUUAGGCCUACGAUGAGAAGCAUUGCCCCAUCUCCAAGGGAUUGUCAUGGUUGUACCACCGUUGGGAAAAAACUUGUUUGUGUUUAGGGGUACGGAUGGGAAGAAUCCACUCAAGGAUUUAGUCAUCCUAGAUACAUCGACCAACACAUGGAUGUAUCCAAGAGUACGUGGGGAAGGACCAACACCACGCGAAGGACAUAGUGCAGCACUUGGGAUGUAAAAUUAUUGAUAUCUAAGAAAAAACUAAAGAGGAGGAGAUGUAGUACUACUAUAUGCUUCUACCUACUACGAUGUUCGUAUAGUUGUUGAUGCUUCUAGGUGGUUUAAUCUGGAGAGAGGUAAUGAGUCAUCUGGGUAAAGAUUUCUUGCAUAGAAUCAAGAUAGAUGGAUUCAUCGAUGUUAAGGAUAAUACAGGUAAGCUCUAACUUAGAUUAUGGAUUAUGUCAUCCCUAUACUUUAAAAGUUUUUCCUAGAUAGGCUAACCAUUUUUCAUUGAACAUUAGUUGAAGCGAGUUUGAUAAUUGAUAAUAUUUUUUCCUUCUCAAUAUGUUCAGUUUAUAAUCAUUCACAUAAAUACAAAUAUGAAUCAUACCAAAGAGAGCCUAAGGUUCUUUUCA